rnacentral:rRNA from 1 species
AUUUUAAAUCCCCUAAACCAAGGAACCAAUUGGGAGGGCAAGUCUGGUGCCAGCAGCCCGCGGGUAAUUCCCAGCUCCAAAUAGCGUAUAUUAAAAGUUGUUGUGGUUUAAAAAAAGCUCGUAGUUGAACCCUUGGGCCUGGGCUGGCCGGUCCGCCCUCACCGCGUGUACUGGUCCCGGCCGGGGCCUUUUCCCCUCUGUGGAACCCCAUGCCCCUUCACUGGGUGUGGCGGGGAAACAGGACUUUUACUGUGAAAAAAUUAGAGUGCUCCAGGCAGGCCUAUGCUCGAAUACAUUAGCAUGGAAUAAUAGAAUAGGACGUGUGGUUCUAUUUUGUUGGUUUCUAGGACCGCCGUAAUGAUUAAUAGGGACAGUCGGGGGCAUCAGUAUUCAAUUGUCAGAGGUGAAAUUCUUGGAUUUAUUGAAGACUAACUACUGCGAAAGCAUUUGCCAAGGAUGUUUUCAUUAAUCAGGAACGAAAGUUAGGGGAUCGAAGACGAUCAGAUACCGUCGUAGUCUUAACCAUAAACUAUGCCGACUAGGGAUCGGACGAUGUUAUAUUUUGACUCGUUCGGCACCUUACGAGAAAUCAAAGUGCUUGGGCUCCAGGGGGAGUAUGGUCGCAAGGCUGAAACUUAAAGAAAUUGACGGAAGGGCACCACCAGGGGUGGAGCCUGCGGCUUAAUUUGACUCAACACGGGGAAACUCACCAGGUCCAGACACAAUGAGGAUUGACAGAUUGAGAGCUCUUUCUUGAUUUUGUGGGUGGUGGUGCAUGGCCGUUCUUAGUUGGUGGAGUGAUUUGUCUGCUUAAUUGCGAUAACGAACGAGACCUUAACCUGCUAAAUAGCCCGUAUUGCUUUGGCAGUACGCUGGCUUCUUAGAG